CAAUCUUAUACUAGCCGACCGAGACCGACCCCCUCUCCCUUUGGUACUCUCGUUGCCAUUCCCGAUUCCCGAACGCGCAGCGGCGCAGGCAGCUGCGUUCACGUGUCCCACCAGUCCAGCCCCGUAGCGCCGUCCAGCUGCUACAAGAAGCCGCCACCGCCACAACCACCGCUCCGAACGGCUCACCGGCCGGGCGGCGGCGAUCCCAUGGGAGUGACGCCGACCAAACUUUUCUCGGAUUCUAGCUCGAGCUGAGUCUGCGCGCUGCUGCAUGCUGCAGCUGCUGGUUUCUUGAGAGGCGAGCCCCGCCUGAAGGGAUGGCACUGGAGGCCGCCCUUGUGCUUUCCCAGCAGCAGUCCUCCUCCCAGCAAGGCAGUCGCUUUGGGUGCGGUGCCAUGGCAGCAGGAGGGCCUUGGAGUAGUCUGUUGUUUAGUGGAAUAGAGGAGGUGGUGGAGAUGGGUGGCGCCGCCGGCGCCGCCGGCAGCUGGAACGCGGCCGCGUGCUCGCCGCCGCAGCUCCUGCAGGAGCUGGGUGACAACACGGCUGCCGGCGCGCUGCCUGCGGCGUCCGGGAGGUGUGCGAGUGGCGGCGCCGGUCAGGAUGCCCCGGCACCGGCGCCCGGAAGAAGGAAGCGGCGCAGGAUGAGGCCGGUGAAGAACGAGGAGGAAGUGGAGAGCCAGCGGAUGAUCCACAUUGCCGUGGAGCGCAACCGCCGCAAGCAGAUGAACGAGUACCUCGCAGCGCUCCGCUCCCUCAUGCCGCCGGCCUACUCGCAACGGGGCGAUCAGGCGUCCAUCGUCGGCGGCGCGAUCAACUUCGUCAAGGAGCUGGAGCAGCUGCUCCAGUCGCUGGAGGCGCAGAGGCGUUCCUCGCAGCGCCCUGCCGACGACGUCGAUCCCGACGACGCAGGGCCGUUCGCGGACUUCUUCACCUUCCCGCAGUACUCGAUGUGCGCUGUCGUCGCGGGCGCGGCCCCAGAGAACAAGAACGCCGACCACCGUGAGGGCGCCGGCGGCGCCGAGGAGGAGGCGUCCGGGUCGAAGCCAUCGGCCGUGGCCGACGUCGAGGCGACCAUGGUGGAGAGCCACGCCAACCUUCGGGUGCUGUCCCGGCGCCGGCCGAGGCAGCUGCUGCGGCUGGUGCUGGGGCUCCAGGGCCACCGCCUCACCGUGCUCCACCUCAACAUGAGCAGCGCCGGCCACAUGGUGCUCUACUCGUUUAGCCUCAAGGUACUCCAUCCACAACUUUCUUUCUACAUUACCUCGUAAACAAUUACAAUCACAGGCAGCUACCCGAUAUAGUAGAUAUACAUAUACUCCGUACAUGGCUCUCAGUCCAAGGAGUAUAGUACUCGUACCUGGUUCGCAAUACCACGCUUGGAUGAAGUCCGGAGGCAAGGUGGUGCCUAGGUUUCCGUGCCUGAUUUGGAUCUUGCAUUGUCCCCAACAGCUGCUCCAAAUUCCCCCGUCUGCUUUACUUCAUUAUGGUGGAGGAUGAUUGCCAGCUUACCUCUGUGGAUGAGAUUGCAGCUGCGGCUCAUCAGAUCGUCGAGAAGAUCAAUGAAGAACAAGGCUGCAGCUUAUUAGAAUAGAAUCAGCCGCGAGCUUUCUCGCAUGCAACUUUUCUUUAGCUCCUGUAGCAAGUGAAGUGAUUCCCUUUGUGAAAACGAAUAAUGUACUAAUCAUCAGCUUAGCUGGUCUUUGAAACAGUAGUAUGCAUAACCCCUGUCUUUGUCCAUAGAAAAUAAUGUCCAUGGCCGCCAGGCAUGCAAGGUCUCUCCCUCUCGGUCUCUGAACGAGAGCUCUGGCUACAGAACAGCUGCAAUUCCAUGGCGCUGUGAAGGGGAGAAGGCGUGACAUUCCCUCCCUUGUGGCCUUGUGGCUUGUGGUACCUUGCUACCAUGUUCUGAUGUUCACCACACGAUCUGACAUAACUGGCACUAGCGGUGCUGUUUCAGACCUGGAAGAAUUCUGUAUUUCUGUUCCCCUUGUGAAGCACCACCGCCCCAUGCCAAAACGCCAAAAGAUUCUCAGCUCAUGUAUUCCUGUGCACAUGGUUUGCAAAUUCCUUUCUUGAAUUUCCGUUAAUUUCAGUACCGAGGGGGGCAAAUUACAGUACCGAAAGAGCCAUGAAAACUGUUAU